GUUUCCUAGCUGAAAACUGAGGAAAAUCUCAGUGCUUCUGCUUCAGUUGCCAUUGCUUGACUGGGGUCCUCCUGGUGCCUCUCCGCCCAUGCACAGGAUAGAGGUCUAGCUCUAUUCCUGAGAGCUCUAAUCCUUGCAAGGAUAUAUAUGUAUAACUGUGUGCAUCUGACUGUGGGACUGUGUGCAUGUGACUCUUCAGUC